rnacentral:rRNA from 1 species
CGGGUGAGUAACGCGUGGGUAACCUGCCUCAUACAGGGGAUAACAGUUAGAAAUGACUGCUAAUACCGCAUAAGCGCACAGUGCUGCAUGGCACAGUGUGAAAAACUCCGGUGGUAUGAGAUGGACCCGCGUCUGAUUAGCUAGUUGGUGGGGUAACGGCCUACCAAGGCGACGAUCAGUAGCCGGCCUGAGAGGGUGAACGGCCACAUUGGGACUGAGACACGGCCCAAACUCCUACGGGAGGCAGCAUG